rnacentral:rRNA from 1 species
CCUACGGGAGGCUGCAGUGGGGAAUAUUGGGCAAUGGGCGCAAGCCUGACCCAGCAACGCCGCGUGAAGGAAGAAGGCUUUCGGGUUGUAAACUUCUUUUGUCAGGGAUGAAGCAAGUGACGGUACCUGACGAAUAAGCCACGGCUAACUACGUGCCAGCAGCCGCGGUAAUACGUAGGUGGCAAGCGUUAUCCGGAGUUAUUGGGUGUAAAGGGCGUGUAGGCGGGAAUGUACGUCAGAUGUGAAAACUAUGGGCUCAACCCAUAGCCUGCAUUUGAAUCUGUAUUUCUUGAGUGCUGGAGAGGCAAUCGGAAUUCCGGGUGUAGCGGUGAAAUGCGUAGAUAUACUGAGGAACACCAGUGGCGAAGGCGGAUUGCUGGACAGUAACUGACGCUGAGGCGCGAAAGCGUGGGGAGCAAACAGGAUUAGAUACCCGUGUAGUC